rnacentral:rRNA from 1 species
CRKGCGAGCUUACACAUGCAGUCGACGGUGUCUUCGGACAUAGUGGCGGACGGGUGAGUAACGCGUGAGAAUCUGGCUUAAGGACGGGGACAACCACUGGAAACGGUGGCUAAGACCCGAUAUGCCGAGAGGUGAAAGUAUUUUUAGCCUUGAGGGGAGCUCGCGUCUGAUUAGCUAGUUGGUGGGGUAAGGGCCUACCAAGGCGACGAUCAGUAGCUGGUCUGAGAGGAUGAUCAGCCACACUGGGACUGAGACACGGCCCAGACUCCUACGGGAGGCAGCAGUGGGGAAUUUUCCGCAAUGGGCGAAAGCCUGACGGAGCAAUACCGCGUGGGGGAGGAAGGCUCUUGGGUUGUAAACUCCUUUUCUCAGGGAAGAAAAAAAUGACGGUACCUGAGGAAUCAGCAUCGGCUAACUCCGUGCCAGCAGCCGCGGUAAUACGGAGGAUGCAAGCGUUAUCCGGAAUCAUUGGGCGUAAAGCGUCCGCAGGUGGCACUUCAAGUCUGCUGUCAAAGGUCGGGGCUUAACUCCGAACAGGCAGUGGAAACUGAAGCGCUCGAGUGCGGUAGGGGCAGAGGGAAUUCCUGGUGUAGCGGUGAAAUGCGUAGAGAUCAGGAAGAACACCGGUGGCGAAAGCGCUCUGCUAGGCCGCAACUGACACUCAGGGACRAAAGCUAGGGGAGCGAAUGGGAUUAGAUACCCCAGUAGUCCUAGCUGUAAACGAUGGAUACUAGGCGUUGCUUGURUCGACCCGAGCCKGGCSCAAAAAACAAAAA